rnacentral:rRNA from 1 species
CGUUCUCGGGCCUUGUACACACCGCCCGUCACACCACGGAAGCCGGUAACACCCGAAGCCGGUGUUCUAACCCGCAAGGGAGGAAGCCGUCGAAGGUGGGAUCGGUGACUGGGGUG